GAAAGAUGCUACAUGUGAGAAGUGCUGUUUAUCAUGGUUCUUCCAAGAACUAGUAGAGAAUACUAUCAAUUUAGCUUUAAGGUGUUUGCUCUGGGUCAGCAAGAUGGCAGAAUUGGAGGUGCCUCGCUCACAUCCCCCCACAGAAACAAUAAUUUUAGCAGCCAUCCAGGGACAAAAGUUCCUUUGUGGGAGCUUUGGGUUCCAGGUAGGAGGUUGCGAAACCCCAGCGGAGCUGCUGAGGAGGGCUGCAUUGAGAAGGCACACCAGUGAAGAGACUUGGAUUCAUACAAGCUAAAGCACAGAAUCAGCCGACUCUAAUUUUUCUUCCUAGCCUGUCAUCUCCCCUGUUGUGUCCUGAGAAGGCAGGUUCACUGACCACGGUCCUGGCUACAGAUCUGCAAACAGCCUUAGUAUCCGUAGGAUGUCCUUCUUCUAUGUUCUGGGCUGUGGUUGAACCGACUCUACUUGGGCAUGAUCACUUUUGCAUUCUGAUGGAGUGUCUCUGGGAAUUGGCUGUCCUGCAAGCAAAAUAACUGAGAAGGGAUAUGAGUUUAAGUAUCUCGUCACCGAGUAUGGGAUUCAGAAGGAGGGUGGACGCUCUCCAAAAAAACCACAUGAGCCUUUUAAAGGAAAAGAGUUUUCUCUAGCUGGUGUUGGAAGUCACCAGAGAGAUUUGGGAGCAUGAGAAGGACCAGUCCCUUUGCUGGUGUGAAGAUGGAGGGAUCUGUGUGACAGGAAAUGUGGACAGCCGUCAGGAGCCGAGAAGCCCCUGGCUGAGAACCAGCGAGGACACAGGACCUCAAGCGUAUAACCGCAAGGAAAUGAAAUCACCCAAUAACUCAGAUGAGCUUGGAAGCAUUUCUUUCCCAGAGCCUGCAGAUAUUUUGAUUUUGGCCUCACGAGACCCUAAGCAGAGAAUCCAGUUGAGCCCACUUGGACUUCUGAUUUACAGAACUAUGAGGUAAUGAGUAGUAUUGCUUUAAGCGGCCAGAUUUGUGGUGGUUUGUUAUACAGCAACAAAAAACUAAUAUAGAAGGUGUUUUGAGCGCUUGAGAGAAUUGGAAGGUCAUAGUUGCUGAAACCCAGACAGGCAGGAAAGAAUAGUGGGGAAUACAGUACACCAGUAAAGAGGAGCAGAUUAGAUUUCAUUUAGAAACAUGGAUUUAGCUCAAACACAGAAAGGUGAGUGAAAAAUUCAAGGAAAAUUCUUAAGAUUUAUAGCAUCAAACUGAUCAUAAACAUACGUUAAAAUAUACCUUUCACACUUGUACAUAUAUACAUAAGACACUUGGAAAGUACAUUAAAUACUUUUAAGGGUGACCACUAGGACCAGGUAAUGGAAUUAAGGAAAAAAUAAUAAAGUAAGAUGGUCUUUACAUAGAUGAACGACGCUAGUUGGCUAUGUUAGAGAAUGAUCAAUUGAUUUCUGGCGCCUGAGAUUAUAGUAAUAAUAAGAAGAACAUAUUAGGACACACAAACACACACACACACACACACACACACACACACUCAUGUGUGAAGACACAGAGAGAAGAUGACCACCUACAAGCCAAGGAGGGAGGCCUCAGGAGAAACCAACCUUGGUGAUACCUUGAUCUUAGACUUCCAGCUUCUAGAAUUGUGAGAGAAUUAAUUUCUGUUGUUUAAGCCAGUCUAUGGUACUUUGUUGUGGAAACACUAGCAAACGAAUACAGUAUGAGACCAAUAUUUGUUCUGCUCUAGGAUAUUUGACUCUAUUAUUAUGUUCACUGCUCAAAAAAUCUUUUUUCUAUUCUGGUCCAUAGUAGGUUAUUUUUGGAAAGUUACAAAUAUUACCUAAGAAGAGGCAUACCCCAAAUUGAGACCAGUUCUAUUCAGGGAAUACUGAAAAGAUUUCAGUUUAAUUUUGGAUUUGUUGGUGGUGUUGGACUAAUAUUCAAAGCAGUCUCAUUUUGACUAGUUAUUACCUUCUGCUUUGAUAGUCUAAGACUAAACCUUUUUCCAUAUUGGCCGUCAGGGGCCCAUCAAUAAUAUGGGAACAUUUCCAAAUGUCUCCCGUCUCCUUUCUCUCCCUGGAACUGAAUAAUAUGGGCUGAAAUAGGAAACUUUUUACCCACAAUACUAGUUUCAUUUGUUUCUGGAAGUUCCUCCUGCAGUUUAUUCUAAUCAGUCCCAAAUAAAUUAGCUGGAUUCCUAGCCUAUGUUAUUCAGUGGAACUAGCAUUAACCUUUGACUACAGGCGCUGAACAACUAAUGAAAACAACAAGCUUGCCUAGAACAAGUUUUACAUAUGAUGAGGUACCACAGCACAGUGCGUUAAGAAAUAAUAGAUAAUCCAUGAAAAGAAAAUACAUUUUAUUGCAAUUCCUUAUGAAAUUAAAAACAGAGGCAGACCCUUCUGAAUAAAGGAUCAUAAAACAACAAAGGGCCAUUCCAUUAAAAAUCAAAUCAUCUAAAACAUUUAAAAAUUAAACAAACAGGAUCUCCAGGGAGCAUUCCAGUUUCUAACAUGUGAUCCUCCUACAGUCACAGGGAUUAUAUCAGCUUCUGAAUUCUCACGUGAAGAUGAAGGUGAUUUUUUUUAAGUAGCAAAACUGAUUGUUGCUCUGCAAAGAGAAAAAGGGUCAGAAUCUGCAAUAGUGUGGUUUUCUAUCUUGUGCGUCAGGGGACCUAGUGUUUGUAAAUCACAGGGAGAGAGGAAUGGAGAAGGGAGGGAUUAUGUCUGAAAACAUAUUAAUAUAAGAGUUAUAUAUUUCUAGGGAUAUAAAUAGUUUUGCUUUUCUUAGUUAAAUACAUCAGAGAUAUGUAAUAUAUAUCUGAUUUAAUAUAGCAUCUGUCACAACACAUCAAAAAAUUUUUUUCCUUUUUUUCAUUACAUUUAUUGGGGCAAUACUGGUUAAUAAAAUUACACAGGUUUCAAGUAUAACAUAUGAUUCUAAUUUGAAAAAGUGCUUUCCAUUUCUCUAGUGCACAGCUACUUCCCUUCAGGGAGAGCUACAUCCAAGGUUUGUAAUAUACCUAUCUGUAUAUAUUCAGAAUUUCCCUCCUCAGCUGUCCAGGAAGAAAGAUCCAUAUCAUUUAGGAAGUGUAUCCCCCCGGCAGGCCGGCAUUUGUCCUUUCAGAACAGAGUCUGAGUAAGAUAUUUCUGAGUGCACA